rnacentral:rRNA from 1 species
GACGAACGCUGGCGGCGUGCUUAACACAUGCAAGUCGAACGAAGAGCGACGGAAGCUUGCUUCUAUCAAUCUUAGUGACGAACGGGUGAGUAACGCGUAAUCAACCUGCCCUUCAGAGGGGGACAACAGUUGGAAACGACUGCUAAUACCGCAUACGAUCUAACCUCGGCAUCGAGGAUAGAUGAAAGGUGGCCUCUACAUGUAAGCUAUCACUGAAGGAGGGGAUUGCGUCUGAUUAGCUAGUUGGAGGGGUAACGGCCCACCAAGGCGAUGAUCAGUAGCCGGUCUGAGAGGAUGAACGGCCACAUUGGGACUGAGACACGGCCCAGACUCCUACGGGAGGCAGCAGGGGGGAAUCUUCCGCAAUGGACGAAAGUCUGACGGAGCAACGCCGCGGGAGUGAUGACGGCCUUCGGGUUGUAAAGCUCUGUUAAUCGGGACGAAAGGCCUUCUUGCGAAUAGUGAGAAGGAUUGACGGUACCGGAAUAGAAAGCCACGGCUAACUACGUG